rnacentral:rRNA from 1 species
UGGGCGGCCAUAGAGGGUGAGAGCCCCGUACACUUAAGAGGUGAA